rnacentral:rRNA from 1 species
UACGUAGGGUGCGAGCGUUGUCCGGAAUUAUUGGGCGUAAAGGGCUCGUAGGCGGUCUGUCACGUCGGGAGUGAAAACUCAGGGCUUAACCCUGAGCCUGCUUCCGAUACGGGCAGACUAGAGGUAUGCAGGGGAGAACGGAAUUCCUGGUGUAGCGGUGAAAUGCGUAGAUAUCUGGAGGAAUACCGGUGGCGAAGGCGGCAUCCUGGACCGGCAUUGACGCUGAGGAGCGAAAGCCAGGGGAGCAAAGCGGG